ACUUUAUUUUACUCUUCAAAGACUGCUGGCAUAUACCUGAACAUACUACGCGGAAACUCAACUUUAACUUAACAUUGUUUCAUUUCUUGGCCAAAUAACUGAUUUUUAAAAAGGGAGGGAAGGACUUAUAAAAUGUAAACAUUUGUACUAUUUAUCAAAUAAUAAUCAUCCUGAAAGUCUAUUUUUUAAAAAGUGAUGAGAUUUCCAAAACCUUGCUGCGUUGCAUACUGAUGUAAAUACAGUAAUAAAAAUUCCAUUUAAAAAAAUCCAACACAAAUCAAACUUUACAGACACAAGAUAUUAAUUCUGCUUUAAUUUAUUACUAAGUCAGGAUAAAAGUUGCUUUUUAAAUUGCAAUUAUUGAGAUGCUGCUUGUCUAUAAGAGGAUGAGCAGGGUGGGUAUGGAGAAAACAUAUAAUGAGAAAUUUUGAGGAAAUGGGAUUCACAGAAUUCAAAAGAAGUUCAAAUUGACUGCAGAUUUCAGUAAGGAGAUGAAAGUGACCACAGUUCAAAAGUAUUUUGACUUUCACUUUGCUUUGGUUUAGACUGUCAUUCUUCCUUAGAGUAAAAAAGGUACUUCAAACAAAGUAGUGAAGUCUGACGAGAUGGCAGAAGAGGAAACCAAACAGCCUAACUAAACACAUUUUUCAGACAGAAUGUAAAAGAACUACACACAUUUAUCACUAUUCCAGUUUAGAAAUUUGCUGGUGAUACCUAGCUUUAGAGCUAAAGGAGAAUCGCAUUUCAGCUGAUCUUGCUCCCAAGCCCACUGUUCCCAACCUUCAUAAAGAAAUCUUGCAUCAAAAUCAUUGAAUCCAGGAACCAUUAAUCAUUUAUCAAGAAAACCUAGUACAAAAAUAUGUCUGUGCUGCCACUUAUGUAGUCAAGUUGGUUAGAAGCAAAACUUAAAGCUACUUUGCAGCAGCAAAUGAUCUUAGAACCCACUGGCAAUCAGUGUAGCAACACAAUGAUCAGAGAGGCACCAGGGUAAGAGAGACAAAGAACAAGAGCAGGCCAAGGGAAAACUCAGUCUCAUUAAAAGAACACAAAAUUGGGUUCUAUAUUUGCAUACACUGGAUACUGGACAUUAAACACAUAGUAGCAAAGUCACUGGAGAUAACUAACCAGGGAAAAGCAAACUGCAAAUUACUAAUUUUUUUUAUCUUUUAGUUUUAAGCUUAUUAAAUGUUCACAAAAUGCAUUUUCCAAGGCUUUUUGUCUCCUAAACUGGACAAUGAACACUCAAUUUCACUCCACGUCACCACACAGCAGUGGUCAAUAUUGAUGUCUGAACAUCAUCCAUAACAAGAUAUAUUGGGAAAAAAGCAGGGAUAAAUAACCAACAUUCAGAGACAAUUUCAAAGUCUCAUACAUUUCAACCUUAGGACUAAUUAAUAGCAAAAGUAUUUGACUUUCCACUUCUCUUUUUCUCUCCUUUGACAGUACUCUGGUAAGUGGUGUUUGUGUAGAUAGAAAUAAUAAGGUUCUUUAGGAGGGUAAGAGAGGAAGGGCAAAGAUAAUCCAUGUACUGAAUAAUCAGGCCUUGGUUUAUAGAGCCAACUAUACAUAGCAUUCACAAAAGCUUCUUUACACCCACUGGUAAGGAUGAACUUUGCUCCCAAUUUAGAAAGCACUGAUGCUUCAAAAUGCUCAAUACUCCUUUUUAUGGAUUAAUGUUCUGGAAUUUAUUUCAGGUCGUCAAUGAUGUUUCCACUUCUUUCCCUCUCAAUUACCAUUUAUUUCCACUUCAAUUUUUUUUUUUUAAAUUUAAAGCUUUUUAAAAGCAAAAAAUGUAAAAAACUUUAUGCUAGAAAAGUAUUACACUUUGGGGCUGAGUAGGGCUACAUUUAUAAAUUCUUUUAUUGUGUAAUUCCCAAACUAUAUAUAAAUGAGAUUCUGCUAUUGAAAUAACAAGGUGAUCUAUGCCUUUACUCAUAAUGUAGUAUUCCAUUUACAUUACAAAAACCAUUCAGAU
ensembl:lncRNA